rnacentral:rRNA from 1 species
AGUCUUCCACAAUGGACGGAAGUCUGAUGGAGCAACGCCGCGUGAGCGAAGAAGGUUUUCGGAUCGUAAAGCUCUGUUGUAAGGGAAGAACACGUACGGGAGUCACUGCCCGUACCUUGACGGUACCUUAUCAGAAAGCCACGGCUAACUACGUGCCAGCAGCCGCGGUAAUACGUAGGUGGCAAGCGUUGUCCGGAAUUAUUGGGGUUAAAGCGGAGGAAGGCGGUCCUUUAAGUCGGAUGUGAAAGCCCACGGCUCAACCGUGGAGGGUCAUUGGAAACUGGAGGACUUGAGUACAGAAGAGGAAAGCGGAAUUCCACGUGUAGCGGUGAAAUGCGUAGAGAGGUGGAGGAACACCAGUGGCGAAGGCGGCUUUCUGGUCUGUAACUGACGCUGAGGCGCGAAAGCGUGGGGAGCAAAC